rnacentral:piRNA from 1 species
UGUCUCUCCCUGCCACAAAUUCCAUGAUCGA